GAUGAACGCUGGCGGCGUGCCUAAUACAUGCAAGUCGAGCGAACAGACGAGGAGCUUGCUCCUCUGACGUUAGCGGCGGACGGGUGAGUAACACGUGGAUAACCUACCUAUAAGACUGGGAUAACUUCGGGAAACCGGAGCUAAUACCGGAUAAUAUAUUGAACCGCAUGGUUCAAUAGUGAAAGACGGUUUUGCUGUCACUUAUAGAUGGAUCCGCGCCGCAUUAGCUAGUUGGUAAGGUAACGGCUUA
rnacentral:rRNA from 1 species